UCCGACUGGGUGCCACCUUCGAAAGCAGUGAUUUGAUCUGUUCAUCUGGCUCAUACGAAUGUUACGGAAGCAAUGCGCAACUUGUUUCACAAGAAGCUGAAGAUGUCUCGUCCGGGAUGCUGUGCCAACCUUAUCUGCAGCAGGAGAUUGCAGGGGCAGGACUAGGCAGCAGAUAAAGGCAUUCUGGCACCACCGAAAAGCUUGCACUCCACUUCUCAACUAUCACCGUCUGGGUUUCAAGCUGAAGGCUUUCACCAGUGCCAACCAGACGCCCUUCAAAGUUCAUAUGUUUUUGUUGACGGAACAGUGACACCUGGUAAACCUGUCAUGCAGAUGCCCUACCCCUUGGUAUGCAUAGUACCGAAGAUUGCAAGAUUGAAGUAUGCAAGAUUGUACCGAAACAAUCCAC